ACGUAGGGUGCGAGCGUUAAUCGGAAUUACUGGGCGUAAAGCGUGCGUAGGCGGUUCGUUAAGUGCGUCGUGAAAGCCCCGGGCUCAACCUGGGAAUGGCGAUGGAAACUGGCGGGCUGGAGUAUGGCAGAGGGGGGUGGAAUUCCGCGUGUAGCAGUGAAAUGCGUAGAGAUGCGGAGGAACACCGAUGGCGAAGGCAGCCCCCUGGGCC
rnacentral:rRNA from 1 species